GUAGGAAUGGCAUCACUAAGUACUGUAUUCUACAACAGUAUCUUUCUCGCUUGAUAAUUUCUUGAAAACAUUUCUGUAUUCAACAUUCCUUAAGUUUUACCUGUCUCCUUUAAACCUAAGAUCCAGAUCCAAGUGGUUCGAAAUGCAAUAGCUUCUAAAGAACACUCUGGGAAAGGCACCCUUUCCGCUCCUGCUUCUGAAUCACUAGGCUUCCUUUCCAGGCUGUAGCUUUAUAGAAGAGAAAGUCCUAGUAUGUAAGUAAUUGAGAAAUUAAAAAUGACCUGCCUGCCAUGUUGCCUAUGUAGACACUAGGGCCUUAUUUUCUAUUGUCUGUGAGACUACCACAGUUAAUCCUUAUGAUCAAAUCGUGCAUGUGCACCUUGUUUGUAGACCCAGCAUUUGUAGGGUAGGACAAAGCACGUUCCUGAAAGUGGUGUUCCUGGAAAGGAAAACUUCCAAGUUUAUCAAAACAGAUGGUACGCUCAGAGUGACAUGCACAGCUGCUUAUACCCUGAUUCUGCCCUCUUGUUUGUCAAAAGUCACUCCCUCUAAUGGUACCCACCUUGGUUGGAGGGGACAGGGAAGGGAGAUGCCAGCGAGCACUUCUAAUCCUUACCAGUGAGCUGUCUUUUAGAUGAUGUAAGUGGCAUUUUUGGCGGUGGUGAGGGAGGGGGAUGGGAAGUUAUAAGUGAUGACAGAGCCAUGACUAGUAGAGGUGUCUGUUCCACCAGGAGACACAAAACUAGGGGACAAGGCUCUUUUUUUUUCCUUGUUAACUUAUUCACUUUACUUUCCAAUCACAGCCCCCACCCCCUCACACAACUUCAGCCUUACUCCCCUUCCCUUCUCCUCUGAGAAGGAAGAACACUACCGCCACGCCAUACCCCCCAACCCCUGUGCGACCUGGUAUCAACCCACUCUGGCACACCAGUUGCUGCAAGACUAGGCUCAUCCUCUCCCACUGAUGCCAGACAAGGCAGUCCAGUUUGAGGAACGUGAUCCAUAGGCAACAGAGUCAGGGAUAGCCUCUGCUCCAGAUGUUGGGGGGACCCACGUGAAGACCAAGCUGCACUUUUGCUACAUAUGUGCAGGAUGGUGGCAGAGUGGGGGAGGGCGAGGCCCAGCCCAUGCUCGCUCUUUGGUUGAUGGUUCAGUCUCUGGGAGCCCCUGAGGGCCCAGGUUUAGUUGACUCUGUUGGUCUUCUUGUGGGGUACAAAGGGAAGGGCUGCUGCCUUGAAAACUGGAUUUUUGUUUGUGGGGUUUUCCCUCUUGAAGAGACAAUGUGAGACUUCUUUUUCUGGCAGCUGCUCAGGGUGUUGUUGAGAGUUCUCGUGAAGGCGUGCAGGGGGUUGGCAGAGGCGGGGGGGGGGUUGGAGGGUGGCAGGGAGCGGUGACUGCUCUAGGUAGGUGACUCCAGCUGCUUUAUAGACUUUGUCCCCUGCUCAGUCUCUGGGGUGGGAGCAUGUGCCCUGCUGCCCUCUGACUAGGACUGCUUCUUGACCCCUGAUGUCAGAAGAGAAGCCAAGGGCAGCUUCCUCUUGCUCCUCUGAGGGGGCAAAGUGGGAGUCAUAGGAAGAUGCUACUCUUAUUUCCAGGUGAGCUGGAGUGUCAACAGGGAUAGAUUAUUUUUCCCCUUUGUGUUCAUCCUCCCCUUCCACUUUGGGUUACUCUUAAAAAUUCCUUCUGCUCGCUGGCUGGCUGGUGGAGAACUUCCUUUUCGUUUUUCUGCUCUAUGUGCUAUUCAAGAGGCAAAGUCUCUUCGCUAAGGAAUGUGUGACAGCAAAAGAGAUGCAUUACAGCCAAGAUAUCUUGGCUUGUAUUAUGAAAUUUCUUCUCUGGGUUAAUAUUGCCAGGGUCCUCUGUGAUGCUUGCAGACCUAAGUCUGGGAGGCCAAGCUCCCUGAUGGCUAUACUCUCUUUAAGGCUCACUGCAGCUGGAUUCAGAGGGAGAGGAGAAUUUGUGAGUUAUUGUUGAAUUUGUGAGUUGUAACUUGCUUGGAAAGCUGGCUUGAAUCUUCAGUUAUUCUCAGUUUUCAAACUUUGGUGUUCCUGGGACUUAAAACAGAUUUAUCUCAGGUAUCCCCCGAACCUCAGCUUGGUCCUUCAUUUGUUUCUGUAUUAGUGUCCUAGGUUUGCUGGCAAAAGGAUUCUACAAAAUGGACAGCUCCAGACAGAGUACUUCUCUCCUGGUUCUGGAGACCAGAAGUCCAAAAUCAAGGGACUGGCAGGGCCAGUCCCUUCUGGGAUCUUUGAAGGAAAGUCCAUUUCAAAUCUCUUUCCUAGCUUCUGGUGGCUGCUGGUAGCCCCUUGGCUCCCUUCUUUUGUGGAAACGUUGCUUUAAUGUGCCCCACAGCACCCAGUGUUCUCCUCUCUCUGUAUCUGUCUUUGUGUGCUUCCCACAAGGACAUCAGCAAUUGGAUUUAGAGCCCAAUCUGAUGUAGAGACUUUUUUUUGAGGGGUUGCUCUUUAGAACUUUUCUGCCUUCAGACUUUCCCACCAGACCACUUCUCCCACAGAUUCUGCUGUUUUUCUCAGGCCUCUCUUAGAAGGAAUGCGUCAUUUUUGCUCCCAAGGUCUCCAAUGGCUUCCCCACUGCUGACAGAAUAAAGUUCUGUCUCUAGCUCCAUUUUAGGAGGCCCACCACAGUCUGGUCCCAGUGAUGUUUUUGACUGCGUGUCUAUGCCUCUCUACACAGGCAUACCCUCCAGGUCCGUGGGAAAGGUCUCCUACAUUGUGCAAUAUGUUUCCUGUUUCACACUGUACGCUGUACAAUAAGUAACUUUUUUCAUUAUAUAUACUUUUUAGAUGCUUUCCUUGAAUGCCUGUGUCAUGUCUUUCUUAGGAGAACAUUUGUAAGCUGCUCUGAAUUGUAGACUUGACUGUUGAUAUACUCUGCUCGGUACCUCAUUUGGAAUGAUCCCCCAAAUGGGGUCUGCAUUUUGCCUGGAGCCUAUUUGCUAUAUUUCUUAGGUUUUUGGAUUUGGCCAGUCUUGAGUCAUAUGAAACUGGAAGCCAAGAGACGCUGGAUGUAAUAGGAAAGUAUCUGUGUGGGGGGACCACUGUCUGUCCCCAUAUGAGCCUUAGCAACAUUAGUAGACGGACCAAAGAGAUGACAGAGGAGGAGUAGUAGACUGAAGGACAUCAACAGUUUUCAAUAUCAGCUCUGAUAGAUGCUCUGAAAACCUGAAAACUUGAAAGUAACAAAGAGGUUUUUUUCCUUGCAGUGUUGGGAUAAAGUCCCCUGGGCAGUGGCUCAUGCUGAGCAAGUGUGGCACUGCUAAGCUACAACCUCAGCUCAACAAGACAUUCCCUCCUCACCCAUAAUUGCCCUCAGUGUCUUUUGCUAACUCUCAGUAAGUACACUGAUUUUGAAAUCUUUGAUGCUACCAGAGCCCUUCCUUGCCAGGUCUUGGCAAUAGUUUUAUGAAUUGGAUGUAGAAACCCAGGCUAAGGCAAACACCCAGGUAAAACUGCCACUUGCCUCACCAGAUAGUUUAUGGAUAACCUUAUAUGAUCAUAUUGAGCUUGUCGACUUUACAUGCCUCCUUUCACCUUGCUAGAUUACAGUAGAAAUAGGCAGCCUUGAACUCCAUUAAAAAUUAGAAUUUUUUUGGACAUUACAUAUAAGCCCCACAACAGUUGCCUACUGAUCCUGAUCUCUUCCUAGUUGGGUAUUUCAACAGUCAGUGUCCCAUGCAAGAGGAGGUGUGUAGGUGAAUUUUCCUGUCAGCAAGCCUUGCCUGUUAUAUAUUUAUGUAUUUGUCACCAAGUCCUAGUGGCAAUCUGGUUCAAGUUAAACAAUAAAAACAGAGGGAACAACUUGAGUACAAGUCUGUCGUAGCCAUCUGUAUAAAGAAUAGACAGGAAUUGGAAAUGUUUUGAGACUUGGGAAGGAAAGAGGAGACUGCCUGAGAUCAAGGGCCAAGUUGGCAACUCUGUCCUUAAGUGCUCACACCCUUCUCCUCCUGCUUCCUAGCACUAGAACCUUCCUUUUAACAAAAGUACAAAAACCAUGUAACACAAUGCAGAAUAUGAGAAGAUUUUUCAAUGACUGUGUUCGUGCUGUGACAUGCUCGUUAGGGCAAAAACUCUCAUGCAGGUGAGCUAACAACCUGUUAUCAUUGCUCCAAAGGUACAGAGUUGGAUUGAGUGUCAGUAGCAUUGGUAGCAUGAGUUGCUUCAACUCCAGCCUCACUUAAGGAAACAAGAAUUCUGGUAUUUCUGUGUUUCCUUUUCCAACUAAUCAGUAGACUCCUUACAGGAAAGCAUAAGGUCCAUUCGGCUUUGUAUCUCUGGGUAGCCACUUAGUGGCUGUGAAAUAAGAACGCUGGAAACAGUUUUGUUUAGAAUUACAGGACUUUCCAAACAGCCAGCUCCCUGUAAACAGAGGACAUCAGGCAUCCAUUUUUCUUGUGUGCUUACAAAUAAUUUGAUAGGAGGGUUCUGUCUCCAUUAAUAGGGUUGGUAACAAGGGCUCCAUGUCUCAAAGAGUCAGGGGACUCAGAAUGAUGGGAGGUUACAGAAUGGAUGGAGGGAUGGAGGGUGUAAUUUUUCCCUAGACAGAUGUGAACUCACAUCUAUAUGCCACUGAUAAAACAUCAAAACUAAAAUGAUUCUACCCAAGCCUAGCUUGGUGAACCAAUGAGUUUAUUGGGGUUACUUAGAGGAGUACUCAAAGGCAGUUGCAUCACCAGAAAGCCCACCCUAGCAUGGAUACCGAGCUAGGAAAGCUACCUAGAUGACUUGCAGGUACCUCUGAUGGAGAAAGUCUUCAUUCCGCAAUACCUAUGCUGCUUUUAUAACCUUGAAGGGCACUGUGGAUCCCAUAACUUGUAAGCUUCUCAAGCCUUCUAAGUUUUAAGAAUUUCCUGAGCCUUCUUUAACUUCCUGGUCUUUGAAGCCUCUCUCCUCCUUCCAGGAGGGAAUUCUUUGAAGGAGGUGAAAAAAAAAAAUCCCACGGAAGAUGGUGAAUUCGUUUAUGUCCACUGGAACAAAUUAUCAUGGGCCAAAAUAGUAGAAAUCCAGAGUUCUAGUUCCAGAGUUCAGAGGCAUGAGAAGCAUCUCCCUGGAUGUCAUGCAAAGAUAGCCAUGUUGUGUUCCUUCAGGAGGCUGCAAAGGAGAAGCUUGCUGUUUUGUUUCCCCCAACCCCCACCCCUGCCACCCCCUGCCCCUUUAGAGGUCACCUGUCCCUUUUUGACUCCUAGAUCUUUCAUUCCUCUUCAAAGCCAGCACUUCAGAUUUGGCCUUGCCAAUCUCCCCUCCCUUUUGAGGGCUCUUGUAAUCACAAUGGGCUUAUCCAGAUAAUCUCCUGAUCUUAAGGUUGAUAGAUAGGCAACUGAAAUUCCACCUACAACUUCAAUUUCCCCUUGAUGAAUAACAUUCAAAUCCUGGGAGAAGGACUCAAGUAUAACUUUGGAAGCAUUCCCAUACCUCGAGGGAAGCUCCCAAUGGUCACUGGAGUAUCAGCAUCUUCCCUCCAUAUCAAUACUGAAGGAAACUUGACCUCAUAGACAGUUUAUGUGAAUUCCAACUGUUGGCUCCACAGGGGAGGAAAUUCCCCCAAGCCCUGGGCCUUUUGUCACUGAUCAGCAAGCGUGUUGGAAGUGCUGAGCUUUUACCCUUCCAGUUUGCUUUGCUGUAUCCAGGCCUCACUGUUGUCUAUCUAGUCUCAAGGAACAGUGUCACGCCAUGGAUUCAGAAGGGACUUCAUCCGUCCAUAAGAGUUUGUUUGAACGAGGGCAUGAUCUUUUAGAACUGUACCUUCUAAAUGCCCAUUUUGGGGACAUUGAAAUUUAGUGAUCAAGGGCUCCAAAAGUGUGAAAUCCUGGAAGUUCCCCUCAGGAAUUCUAGGAAGAGGGGCUGAAAGAGUACCUGCCCAAAGCAAGCUUUCUGCCUUAGCAGCUGCUGUGAGUGUAUGCCACUAUAUGGUAACUCGGUUGGAUGAGGCUGGCACCUAGAGGAAAAAGAGGACUUUAUUCACUGGGUAUUCGCAGUGAUGGAACUGGUGACUCUGGAAUAGAGUCCAACUCCUAAGGCAGAGGGUGGUCCAGUGGUCGAUGCAAGAAGUCUUCAGUCAAGAUCACUGCAAGAGGGGAAGACUCAGGAAGACUUACUGCAUGAUUUUUUCACUUGGAAAGAGCAAACCAUGAUCUGGGGUAACUGAUUCCCAAAGGAGGUGUUCGGAUCUUAUUUAGAAAGUUACCGCCCUCCAAGUCAGCUUGCCUCUCGGCUGCCCAGCCGUUCACCUAGAGAUGGAAGCUGGCCAAGGACAGGAUCCAAUACCUUUUGCUAGGAAAGUAGAUUCUUCAGAACUCUGAAAUGAACCCAGUCUUUGAAGAGAGAUGAGGCAUCGAGGAGAGACCUUGGGGGCCACGGAGAAUGGCAGCCCUGGCUCUUGGAUGAGCAUCACGAAGGGACCACAGUACAUUGUUGAGUCAUGGAAAAGUCACUUCAGCAUAGUACUACAGAGUUUCCUUUCAUCCCUAGCAGCUGACAGGUGACAAAGGGAAUCUUGAACCCCAAGAUGAACAAAACUGACUCAAGGCACUUGCCUUCAGGAAUCUGACUAAGCUAGAAAGGGCAAAAUGACCCACGAUGGCUCUUCUUCCCUUGUGGCCACUGGCAGCUUCUGAGAUGUACAGACACAGUGAUUAAGAAAACUUGCCAAAAAUGGAGACAGAAGCACGAGUUAAGAGGAAAGGUCUCCGCCUGCUAUGAACCCUAUCCUCUGGUCUUCAACAAUGAUCCUCCAGUCCCCUCAUCCCAGGUCUCAACCUACAAUGAACCCCAUUCUCUGCUUACCCACAGCUCUAAGCUGAUCCUUUGGGUAGGAUGGAGGUUCAACUCUGAGCCUUUGGUGGCUAAAGGGCAAGAUGAUCCUAGGGCUUUGGCCAGAUCCUAAGUCCAGUCUAUCAUAGGGUCUCACCCCAAGGUCAUGUAUUAUGAGAAGUGCUGGGAGUGUCUCAAAUGGAGAUGGGCUGGAACUGGGAUGGCAUGUUUCUAGCAACCUCCAGACCCUUGGUUGCUAUGGACAGAGACCAAAGAAAGAUGUAAGGACCUGGAUUGUGCUUUGCACACCCUGUCUUCCCAUGAACAAGGGGCCAUCAGAGAAAGUAUGGAAGUAGAGAAGGAAAGCCUGUCUUAUUUUAAAGAAGACUGACUACAAAGGGAAAUAAAGUAGUCAUAGGAGGCUGAUAGAGGACAGGAGCUGGGUAGGAGAGGGGAUGGAAAGAAAAUGGGGGAGGGAUCAGGUGUGGGGAGGGAUGGCCAGAUGCUACAAGAAAAAAAUGGAAAUCUGCAGCUGGCAAGGGAUGGGGUUGGGGGAUGGGAAGCAUCUUGGACAAGGACAUGUUGGGGACCUGGAAUGGGGAAGCUCCCACGAAUCAAUGGGGCUGACCUUAGCUGAGGCAGCCGUGGGGAUAGGAAACCUGAAGAGGCCACUUCCUGUAGCCAGGCAGGAAACCCAGUGGAGCGAUAGGGACACCAACCCACCCACAAAACUUUCAACCCAAUAUUUAUCCUGCCUACAAGAAAUGCAGGGUUGAGGGAUGAAGCAUAGAUUAAGGGAAUGGCCCACCAAUAAGGGGCCCAACUGGACACCCAUCCCAUGGGCAAGUGACAAUUCCUGACACUGAUACUGCUAUGCUUGCAGGUAGGCACCUAGCAUAGCUGUCCUCUUGAGAGGCUCCACCCAACAGCUGACCCAGACAGAUGCAGAAAUCCACAGCCAAAGAGUAGAUGGAACUUGGGGACUCUUUUGGAAGAGUUGGGGGAAGGAUUGAGGACCCGGAAGGGAUAAGAACUCCACAAGAAGACCAACAGAGUCAACUAACCUGGACCCUUGGGGGCUAUCAGAGACUGGACGACCAACCAAAGAGCAUACAGAGGCUGGACCUAGCUGCCCCCUGUUGCCUGUACUCUGGACAGCUCUUAGCCGGACCCUACCUGUCCUCUGGGUGUUAGGGGCAAGUUGGCGCAGAGUCAACAACACAGACUCACAGACUCAGACUCACAGACUCUGGUAGCAGGUGAGAAAUGCUGCAGCCAGCUCAUCUGAGCACUGCUGCAAGUUCCUUUAAUACCCUCCACCCACACCCCCAUUGGUCCCAAGAAAGUAUCUAUUCUAAACAGUUUCUAAUUGGCUGGUAUUAUUUGCAUCAGCAACCCUUGCUCUCUCAGGCAGUCCUCAGGUCCUCCUGCAGGAGAUGCUUCUGCAGCUGCAUGGCCCCCAGCGUUUACAUAGGGGCAGCUUUGCAGUUCCUGCUACAACCCCUGCUCCCCCGCACACGCAAAUGUAUCAGAUGUGCAGCUUGGUCUUCAUUUGGGUCCGGAACAACUGGAGUGGGACUAUCCUUAAAGCUGUUGGCCUGUCUGUGGAAUCUGCUUCCCUAACUUGGCUGUGUUGUCUGGCCUCAGUGGGAGAAGCAGCACCUAGCCCUGCAGGACUUGAUGUAUCCCAGGGUAGGGAUACCUAGAGAAGGCAUUAGUUACUCUUCUUGGUGCUGUGACAAAAAGCCUGGUAAAAAUAAGAAAGGAUCUUUUUCAUUCACAGUCUGCGGUUGUAGUCCAUCGCGGCAAGACCACCAUGUAGCAGUUGCUUACAUUUUGUCCACAGUCAGGAAACAGAUGAACGCUCAAUGUUUCAGUUACUCCCUGUUACUGUGUUACUAAACACAGUUUAAGGGAGAAAGGGGUCAGUUCCACUUGAAUUUCAAGGAUACAGGUAAUUAUGACAGGGAAGUCCUGGGGGCAGGAACUAGAGGAAGUCAGCCAGCUUCCUCCUCUUGAUGAAACUCAGGGCUCAAGUCCAUGGAACAAUGAGUGCUACUCUGUGGGUACUCUCUUUUAUUUAGAGUUAGGCUUCUCACCUAAGUAAACCCAUUAAGAUAAUCUCUCAUAGCAUGGGCAGAGAUUGGUGGUCUAGGUGUUUCAGAAUCCUGUCCAGUUUACAAUAGUGUAAACUUAGCUUGAUUCCUCCCUACCACCCAGUCCUGGACCCCAGCUUUGGGAAUGGUGCUGUCUGCUCUUAGGGCGUGUCCCCUCCCAUCUAUUGCCUUUAUUUAAUCCCUCCCAGACAUACCCAGAGUCUCAUCUCUCUGACGACCUUAGAUCUUGUCAAGUUGAUAAUACUAACCACCAUAGGAAGCAGUCCUGCCUCUCUUAAAAAAAGUUUUUUUAUGUUCUGUGCAGUGGUGUUUUUACCUCUAGGUAUGUCUAUGAGGGUGUCAGAUGCCCUGGAACUGGAGUUGCAGAUAGUUGUGAGUUGCUAUGUGGGAGCUGGGAAUUAAACUUGGGUCCUCUGGAA